AGCAUUCAGACGUCCCAAUAUGUCUUUUUUUUUUUUUUUAAGGCAUUGAUCUUCUGUGUAAGGAAAAGAUGAUUCUGAGCAAGAUUCAUCAGAGUUGCUGGUGAACGAUGCUGUGUUAUGGGAAAGUGAAGCCAGGGCCUUCUCGGCCUUGCAUGAUACAAAAUUAGGGACAGGAAGGGCCAUGCGGCAAGUAAAAAACUGUUAACAGGUGGCUCCCGGGCUACCUGGAGCCCUAAAUGUGUCUCAUUUGACCUACACAGAGCUUUCAUAGAACUUAAUAACAAAUCAUAAAUCAUAAAAUAAUAAAUAAUACAAAAUAACAGUAAGUAAAUAAAAGAAAACAAAACAAAAAUAAUAAAAUAAUCAGCUCCACCUUCUGAAAGGGGUGGGGAGACCAGAAAAUAGAGGAGGAUAUCUUUGCAGUCUCGGGGUCGGCAGAACUUUCUUCAGAUGGAACACCAAAAUGGUGACCCAUGAAAGAAAAAAAAAAAAAAGCUGGACUUUAGCAAAAUUGAAAACUCACGGUUUUGAAAGGCACUCUUAGAACAAUGAAAGACGAGUCACAGGCCAGAAGAAGUAUUUGAAAAUCACAAAUCUGAUGAAGGACGUAUAUACAGAUUAAUAAAGAACCCUCAGCACUCAACAAUACAAAAAUAACCCCAUAAAAAUAGGCAGAAGAUUUAAAUAGUUCACCAAAGAAGAUGUAAGGACGGCAAAUAAACGCAUAGAAAGAUGCCCAACUGAACUGGUCUUUAGGGGAAUGCAAGUUAAAACCACGGUGAGAUACGCACAUCUACAAAAACGAUUAAAACUAAGAAGGCUGACUGUACAAAGUGUUAACACAAAUAGUAUGACCUAGCUGUUCUGUAUGACCUAGCUGUUCUGCUCCUAGGUGUUCAUCCAAGAGAAACAAAAGCAUAUGUCCAAAGACUUACACAAAAAUAUGAAAGCAACUUUGUGCUAGUAGCCUCAACCCCAAACUAGAAACAACCCCAAUAUCCAUCAACAGAUGAAUGGAUAAACAAAUUAUGGCGUUUGCAUAUAAUAGAAUACUAUCCGCCUGUAAGAGGGAAUGAGCUAUUGAUCCACAUGCCAUGAAGGAGUCUCAAAAUUAUUAUGCCGGAUGCAAAAAACCUGACCCAAAAAAGUACAUACUAUACGAUUCCAUUUGCGGAAAAUUCUAGAAAAUGCCAAUGAAUCUGAAGGAACAGAAAGCAGAUUUGUGGUUGUCCCAGAAUGGGGAUGAGGGUGAGAAGGCUGGAUUAUAAAGGGAUACAAAAGAACUCUCGGGAGUGGUGGAUGUGUUCAUUAUCUUGAUUAUAGUUCUGGUUUAUAAGUGAACGUGUAUAUAAACCUCCUAAAUUGCACAUUUUGAAUCUGUGCCAUGUAUCGUCUGCCAGUUACAUUGCAAUAAGGCUGUUCAAAAUGGACAGAUCACAUCUGGGUUUGGGGGAUGCCACAUUUCUCUUAAAAACUUACCAGCUGUGGGCCUAUAUUCCUGUAUGACACCAACAGGCUAGCUGGGAGCCCUGCUGUCCCUGGACGUGGUGUUCCCUCCGUGCCCACUGCUCUCGUGAACUGGCUCCACUCCUCGUAUUGAGGUUGCCUGCUUGGCCUCUGCAGGCGUUCGAAUUUAGACUCCUCAGUCUUGCCACGCUCCUUGCGGGCAUUACAGUUUUUAAAACUUCUCCUUGCUUCCCAGAUUAAGUUCCUUUAGAUAAGUUCUUUAAGAGUGAGCCUGGGGUCACAGAUCAUUAUGACAGAAGGGCAUCAGGGAACUUUAUGAGAGUGACACACUUCUUUGGGCUCCCGCCAGCAAGUUGAGACAAUAGUUCCCUUGCUUGCGUGGGAGGCCGAUUUCAACUCUUCAACUCAUAAAUAACUCUGGCUAGCAUGAAUCAAAGGAAUGCUUUAUUAGGAGAGAAGAGUUGAGGGGCUCCUGGGUGGCUCAGUCGGUUGAGCGUCCGAUUUUGGCUCAGGUCAUGAUCUUGGCAGUUUGUGGGUUUGAGCCCCACGUUGGGCUCUGUGCGGACAGCUCAGAGCCUGGACUCUGCUUCAUAUUCUGUGCCUCCCUCUCUCUCUGCCCCUGCCCUGUUCGUGCUCUAUCUCUGUCUCUCUCAAAAAUACAUACAUGCUAAAAAAAAAAAAAAAAGGAGAGAAGAGUUGAGGGGCACCUGGAUGGCUCAGUCGGUUGAGCACCUGACUCUUGAUUUUGGCAUAGGUCAUGAUCUCAUGGUUUGUGAGUUCGAGCCCCAAGUGGGGCUCCAUGCUGACAGCACGGAGUCUGCUUGGGAUUCUCCCCCUACCCUGCCCUCAAAAUAAAUAAACAUUUUUUUAAAAAAGAAGAGAAGCGUUGAAAAGGUUUCUAUAAUAUUCCAUAGCUAAAAUGGCAAGGCUCAAAGGUCGAGCAGGACAUUCCCCAACAUGAAUAUCAGCCUGUCCUCGGUUGAUGCUUUCCUGCAAGCUGGGACUUGGCUGGCCUGAUUAUGUCCCAUAGUCCCUUGUGGCUGCCCUGAGAAUACCUAUCUGCUUCACCAGGACCUCUGACAAGUCUCCUUGAACUCUAGAUUUUAGCAUGGGGAAGCCAGGAAAUGUGCUGAUCUGGACAAUUAUUAUAACACUUUUGGCCACCCAGGGGCAGAUGAGGACUUCCUUUCUUUUGAGAUCUAUGCCUUCUGAUAAUGGCACAGAGACAUGGCCAUAAACAGUAGACGCGGAGAUCUUAGUGUGGGAUCAUCGUGUCUGCUCACCUCCAUGCAGCCCAGUCCUUUGAAGCUCAGAGCUUGGUCUAGACCACAGGCUAACAGCACACCAGAUGGUUGAAAACUCUCCUCCAAUCCCGGUGUGCUUCCUGACUCUCUACAGGGGGGUUCUCUGGUUCUUCCUUGAGGGGGACUACUCCGCAUUUAUGCUGGUGCUAACUUUCUGUUGGCUUUCUUUUUCAGAAGAGUCUCAGGACCCAUGCCUCCUGGAGCCUGCCUCAAGUCCCAAAGUCCUUAGUUUUCUUUGUUAGGAGCUAAUUUGGCUGCACUGGCUACAGGGAAAUUCCCCACCAUUUUGAAAAUCCAAGCUCUGUGGUCAUCUCUGUCUUCUAGUACCUGUCUCCCUCCAGAAUCUGCUUUGUGCCACGGAAGAGUUUCACCUGGGGCUGGAGAACAUCUUUGGCUUUCUGUUUGCCUCAAAAGAAGCUAAGUGCUGCCUAUCUAUAGAAAUUUAUGCUAUUUCUACAAGUGCAAACUGUAUAACUACACAGAGCUUGGAGACUGGGGUUGGAAAGGGAGUAGUUCAGCUUGAAUCUAUUUUUGGCCAGAUCCAAUUUAGAGGAAGAAUGCCACUUUCAUGAUGAUGGUGAUGAUGAUGAUGAUUACUCUUUGAAGGAGUAGCUCUUCUAGUGCCACGUGAUGAGUGUCACGUGAUCAGCAUAAGCACGCACGAGCACACCCUCCAUUCUACAUUAACGGAGGGACGGGAGGGUGGGUUUCAGUAAAACUUUUAAAUCAUAAGGAUACAUACACAGAGUCAGAUGUGAUGACUUCAAAUCAAUCACAGUUGUGGCCAAGCCGUAUUUUCCAACAAAGCUGCCAGCUGCCACUGUCUGUAAUGCAUCCGGAACUCCUCUUUUUUGCUACCUUUUAUAAAACCCGCGUCAGAUUACUUGGAAUGUCCUCAAGAACGUACAGAUCUUUGGGUUUUUUGUACUGUGAUUUUGGGGACUGUUCUCGGUUGAAGAGUGAACCCCCCAAAUUCACAUCCACCUGGAAGCUAAGAACAUGCGGACAUAUUAUGAGGGCAAGUUUAGGGUGGAUCCUAUAUCCUAUAUAACUGGUAUCCUUAGAAAGAGGAGAGAAAAGAAGAGACAUAGAGACAGAGACAUACGGGGAGAAUGCUGUGUGAUGGACAAGGUCAAAGUGCUGUGUCUACAAGCCAAGAAAUGUCAAGGAUUGCUAGGGACCACCAGAGCUAGGAAGAGGAAAGGAAGACUAGACACUAUAGAGAGUGACACGGCCCUGCCACGACCUUGAUUUUGGACUUCUAGACUCCACAACUAGGAGAGAAAACAUUUCUGUUGUUUAACCCACUCGGCGUGUGGUACUUUGUACGACAGUCCCAGGAAGCUAACACAGGAGCUAAGUCGGUUGACUGAGGAAGUAAUCAAGCUGAGUAAUUCUGCUGCUGAUCAAACAAACGCUGUGAUCAACCAGACCAGACGGAUUUAAAGGACACAACAAAGACAAAUUCUACCCGCACCGAUGCUGUCUCUACGUGAAAGCCUGCUCUGACCUUCAGCCCCCAGAACCUGUAUAAAUGCUCCGGAUGGCGUGCAUUUUGAGCAGAAGCCACGUUGAUACGUCUUUUAUAUUCUGUCCUCCUUAGGGAGUCCCACAUCAUCUCAUGCAGCGUGGAUGGAGCAUUCCUGAUGUUUACCCAGUUGAAAGAGAAUUAAAGAGUGCCAGAGACUCCGUGGAUGCAUGAAUCAGAAGAACGGCGGAGUCCUAAUGCAAAGUUCUCCACGUAAAGACACAUUUUGGCUCUUGCCCCCGACACGGUCCCAGCUCUCGGGCUGCCAUUACCCGAUACCCCACCCUACCAAGAAUGGGCAUUGGACUAACUGCGGUUUGGGAGGGAAGCUUCUGAGUUCCAAGAUUCUUCUGAACUCCACUUGCUUUAAGUGAUUUUCACUGCAGAGUUGCAUCAAAGCUCCUUUUUUGGCAAAGAAGUUGCCAUAUACGAUUAAAAAUAAUCUAGGGGGCAGGAUCUCUACCAGGAAUUGAACAAACAAUGUACUGUCUUAAGCUGGUUCCAAAUUCCUAAUGCAUCUGUUUUGUACAGUCCCCAUUUCAUAAAACUACAAUUCCUCGUUUGUCUGAGUUCUUUCUGCUUGCGCGUUAUAAAAGUCACACCCGUUUAUUCCUGGCCCUGGAGGCACCUUCCCAAGUUUGGGAAAGCCUCUUGUUUGAAGUCACAGAAGCCCUAAAUAAUGCAGUUGUUGUCAGCAUCCCUAUUCAACAUUUAGCAAGUUACCCCACUGCUUUUCUUGACCAGGACAGAUGUAAAACGUCUGACUCCUCAGUUAAUUUCCUGAAGAUUUCACAGCCCUGAUCCGUUUUCUGGCCAGAGCCACGAUCUUAGAUCCGCAUACCUCCCCUAGUUUCUCCGUUGAAACUCUCCAACGGGGCAGCCAUGGCCACACAGCGUAAGUCCGCUGUUUUAUUUGUUUAAUUAUUUUAUCUCAAGGCGAAUUGUGAGGCUAUGGAUCAGAAAUUUCUAGGUUCAACAGGCUGUUGUCCUCGGUCUUCAUCUCAGCUGUGAUCAUAGAAAUUUUCCUGAU